rnacentral:rRNA from 1 species
CCCGCUGAACUUAAGCAUAUCAUUAAGCGGAGGACAAGAAACUAACAAGGAUUCCCGUAGUAACUGCGAGUGAAGCGGGAUAAGCUCAGAUUUAUAAUCUGGCGGCUCCGUGCGUCCGAGUUGUGAUUUAGAGAAGUGCUAUCGGCGCCGGAGCUUGCACAAGUCUCCGGGAAUGGAGCGUCGUAGAGGGUGAGAAUACUUCCUUUGACACGGACUACCUGCGCACUGUGAUACUCUCUCAUUGAGUCUAGUUGUUUGGGCAUGUUGCUCAGAGUGGGUGAUAUAUUCCAUCUAAAGCUAAAUAUUGGUGAGAGACCGAUAGCUAAUAAGUUCCGUGAGGAAUAGAUGAAGAGUUCUUUGGAGAGAGAGUUAAACAGUACGUGUAAUUGCUGAAACGGAAACGCUUGCUGUCAGUCGCGUCGUCCAGGAUUCAGCCUUGCCUUUUGCUCGCUGCGCUUCCUGUUCCAUGGGUCAGCAUCAGUUUUGGCCGGUCGACAAAGGCUCAGAGAAUGUGGCACCCUCGCGUGUGUUAUAGCUCUGGGUCUUAUACAUCGGCUGGGUCUGAUGUGCUCCGCACGCGCGCAAGGCCGGGUUUCGACCACGUUCGUGCGUAGGAUGCUGGCAUAAUGGCUCUAAUCGACCCGUCUUGAACCAGG